CAAACAUAUGUAAUCACUUUAUAUUUUAUUUGGUUUGUUCAUGAAUUGAAGGAUAUGAGGAAUCUACUCUUUUCCAUUUACAACUCAUGACUUAAUAUUUAGACAAAAAAAUUAGUCAUGGCCAUUUCCUAAUUCAGAAACCAGCGUUUUAACUCACUGAUCUAAUCUAAUUUAAGCGAAUCUGGCUUUUAACAUCUCUUCAGAUUAAGAGAUUCUCCAUUUCCAAUGCACUCUGGUGUUAAUGUGGAAACUGGAUCUCUGUUUUCUUUGUUAUGGGAGUAAGGGCUGUUUGUCCAGGUUAUGCAACCGAUGGCUGGUUUUCUGUCAUCAAUCACUCUACAGAAGCCUGGCUGGACUGCCUGUGACCUCCACCCACACCAACCGCUCUGUUAUUGCCACCAGCCUGGAAAUCACUGGCUAACAGUUGUUUAUUACAGAGGAAACCCGUCCCACUCCCCUCAUCUCCGGCGAAAACAUUCUUAUCUGUAAUGCUGGAUGUUCUGCUAGAGCGGGCUGCUCUUAUCUCUUUGAAUCUCUCUGUCGGAUUUUUUAACUUGAAACGCAAAGGAGACCUUUUGACCUGCCUGUCAACCUCGCUGGCCCCCAAACCCUUCCCCGGCUUCUUUGAAUGGAACUUGACAAGAACAACAACUGCGCUCAUCACUUAGGAAUUCCCAACCCUUGACCUUCCUGCAUUCAUCAAAAAAGUCAGAGGCGAGUGUCAAGAGUCACUUUCAAGUCACCGUGGCUUUCCGUGUUUAAACGUUUAUGGAUAUUCAACUUCUCAGACUUGCAAACAUGUCACACUCGGUACAUUUGGGAAAGCUGUCCUGAUUCAAUGUCUUCAGUCUUUGUUCCACGUCGCUCUUUCUCUUUUUCAUCACUCUCUCCCAUCCGCAUUAUAAGAGACCCCUGAGAGGAGCAAAGGGGGCGAGAAAGAAAGAGAGCAGAGGACUGGAACAAGGCAAAUGGGUAGAAGGAGGUUAUUGUGGAAAAAGGGAUUACUGCCUGGCAUUGUCCUGCCUUAAUCCCACCAUUUUACUAUCAUUUAACACCUUUCAAUGGCGGCCCCCCACUUCCCAUCCUCCUCCGCACACACAAUCUGCUCUCAACCUCCCUCCUCAGACAGCGUGAAAUCUGUUAUUCAGCCCAGGUCAAGCGGGUGGGGGGCCUGGAUGUUGGGUGGGGUGACAAGUAUGGGGGUGUGGGGUGUUUCGGGGGACGUCCGGCCGUUUUCUGACCCCAGCUUCAUCUAUUCUCCACGGCUCAACUCAGGGGCCCCAUAACCCCCUUGGUUGAGAUUGAUGGCCUGCUGUUGUAAAAGAAACCAACACGCUGCUCAAACAAGCAUACAUGGACAUUACUGGCAGCGAAGCUGACUUGUGACGCCAAUCGUUGAUUAUCCCAAAUGAUGUUCUUGUCUUUCUUCAGAGCAAAUGCGUUUCAUUACUUUUCACUAUGUAACUGAUGUCAUACACUAUAUAGAAUUCUGAAAUGAAUGAAUAUUUCCACUAGGGUUUCAUUUCUGCUAUGUAUUGUGGUUAUGACAUUUUAAACAUUUUUGGAAAGAAAUGACUAACUAAUUUGUCUGACUUAGGCUUCCUUUACAUUUUAUGCAUACGAAAUACAGAAAAUUAAAUGAUAAUUUUAUACUUAUUGCAUUACUUGACAAAGUUACAGGAAUGAUUGGAAAUCCUGCUAAAUAAAAAUAUUCUGUUCAUAUUUAUAUAUUAUAUAAUAAGUGUAUAAAUAUUUUUUUUUUGAAACUGAGAUUUAUACAUCAUCUGAAUAAAUAAGCUUUCCAUUGAUGUAUGGUUUCCAUUGAUGUAUGUCCUAUCAUAUAUUGAUAGGACAAUAUUUGGCUGAGAUAUAACUAUUUGAAAAUCUGGAAUCUGAGGGUGCAAAAAAAAAUACAAAAUAAAAAAAAAGUCCAAAUGAAGUUCUUAGCAAUGCAAAUUACUAAUCAAAAGUUAAGUUUUGAUAUAUUUACAGUAGGAAAUUCACUAAAUAUAUUCAUGGAACAUGAUCUUUACUUAAUAUUCUAAUGAUUUUUGGCAUAAAAGAAAAAUCAAUAAUUUUGACCCAUACAAUGUAUUGUUGGCUAUUGCUACAAAUAUAUCUGUGCUACUGAAGACUGAUUUUUGGUCCAGGGUCACAUAUUAUAUUCAUAUUUAUUUUUACUUUUUCUUUGUUUUCUUCAUCUCAGGCUUUCUCUACUACUGACUAUCCUUAAUAAUAUAUAUAUUUUUAAAAAGUUUAUGUUUUUUAUUAACGUUGUUAAAAUGACAUCAGAGCUAUGAGAUGGUCAUAAUGUUCCCCCAUCUAUCUAUCCAUCCAUCCUUCCUCACCACGCCACCCUCCUUCUGAAUAAAAGUGCAGCUGUCAUUUGUUGUCAGUUUUUCCGGCCCCUGCGAGCACUGAGGGCCGCUCCUGGGCCGGGGGUGGGCCAGACCUGGAGGGAGGGAAUGUGGGGGAAACUGAACAGGUGCUGCUCCCCCUUCACUCUCUCUGGAGUCCUGAGGAGAGGAAGUCAGGGCUCUGCUGAAGGGAUUAGAGCUCUGGAUCAAACAGAAGAGCGGCCGUUCUCUCUCUCUGAGGCAAACCCAUGAAUUUGUCGACACUUACACUGUGCCACAGCAACAACAGG
ensembl:lncRNA